GUCUAUGGCCAUACCACCCUGAACAUACCCUAUCUCGUCUGAUCUCAGAAGCUAUGCAGGGUAGGGCCUAGUUAGUGCUUCAGUGGGAGAAAGGAUAGAAGCUGGGAUGUCCAGGACA
rnacentral:rRNA from 1 species